rnacentral:rRNA from 1 species
GACGAACGCUGGCGGCGUGCUUAACACAUGCCAGUCGAACGGAAAGGCCCUGCUUUUGUGGGGUGCUCGAGUGGCGAACGGGUGAGUAACACGUGAGUAACCUGCCCUUGACUUUGGGAUAACUUCAGGAAACUGGGGCUAAUACCGGAUAGGAGCUCCUGCUGCAUGGUGGGGGUUGGAAAGUUUCGGCGGUUGGGGAUGGACUCGCGGCUUAUCAGCUUGUUGGUGGGGUAGUGGCUUACCAAGGCUUUGACGGGUAGCCGGCCUGAGAGGGUGACCGGCCACAUUGGGACUCAGAUACGGCCCAGACUCCUACGGGAGGCAGCAGUGGGGAAUAUUGCACAAUGGGCGGAAGCCUGAUGCAGCAACGCCGCGUGCGGGAUGACGGCCUUCGGGUUGUAAACCGCUUUCGCCUGUGACGAAGCGUGAGUGACGGUAAUGGGUAAAGAAGCACCGGCUAACUACGUG